GUUUGUUAAGCCUGUUUUGUGUUUCUGCAGCUAGAAACAGACAACUCGCAAGAAAGAUAGUGAAAUCGUAGAUGAAAUUAUACAAAUAAGCUACAUUAAUACGUUUAGAUGAGAGGCUGUGAAAAGGAUUCAGGAAUAUUAUACACAAAGCAACAAAAAAGUCACUUCCGGCAAAAGCUAGAACCAAAGAGCAACUUCCAAGAAACUCCAACAUUUAUUUGAUGGUUGCCAAACAAAGGUAAAAGACAAUGGAAACAAUUAAUGAAAUAGCCCAUCUGAGACGCUCUGGGUUUGGUCGACCUAGGCCCAGACAUGGUCUUAAACUCUUGUACUGGUUUGCCAAUGAGUGCAUUUAUUUUGAAAACAAUAAUGAAAUCCGCUCUAAAUAUGACCCGGACGAGGGAUGUUUUGGUUUUCACCUUUUUAAAAACAGAUAUGAUCAGUAUGGUGAUAGACUUCUACCAGAUGUAGAUAUCCCAUACUAUGUGAUUGGCAAUCUAAAUUCACCAGGAGCUCAUCAACUUCCUUCAUAUGUCUCAGAAGACUGUUCUGCCUAUAAUGACGACGACGACAGCAAUACAGACCGGAUCAUUGUCAGCGUGGACGAUGACGAGUAUAUUGAAAGAGUUUAUGUGACUCAACACAUCGACAAUUCAAACUAUGAUCCAGACACCACUUUCCGGAUUUCCAAAGGCCUGCUCAUGUUCAUCAGGAGAAUGGAUUUGGAGAAGUUUCAGGGAUCUGUUCAGGCAUCUUCUUUGGAUGUUGCUGUGGAUUUUUCAGCUAGUCUCUUUCCAGAACACCCCGUUAAUGUUCACAAUCAACCUCUGACUACUCCACCAAGCAGUCUCACACCUCAGACCAUCCCAACUUCAAAUGUUACUGUGGAUCUUUCAGCCAAUCUCUCUUCAGAACCAGAUGAUACUGUUGACAAAGAACAUCCUCCAAUUUCUAAAAAAAACCCUGACAUAUUCAUACCCAUGGAAGGAGAUUUUGAGGACCUGCAGAUGACUUGUUGGAGAAAUUGUGCCAUACUUUAAGUCAUUCUGAGGCCAGGUGAAUAGAUGCUAAAAUAAGACCUAAGAUGUGUCCGACAAUCGUUUUAUUGUCAUGACCCGUGUUCUCUUUGACCUAUUUAUAACAACCUGUACAUUGGCAAUGACAAAAACAUAAUUUAGUCACAAGAAAUUCAUUUAUCGGUGCUUACAUUUGAAAACGGACAUCCGCCUUAAAGUUUUCCGCUAUUUUUUAUUCAAAUUACUUUGAAAUUUGACCUAUACUCGGCUGUCCAUCACACAUUCACAAAUCUCGGCGGAAGCAGUAGAGCAGUCUCUAACGUUUUCGUUGUAAGGCCCCCUUUGUGUAGAGUGCAUCGCUUUGCGGCCCCCCAAAAUAAAGACUUAUGAUCCAAAAACAUAUUUAGUUAUACAAUGCUGGAACAUCAAUUCUUUUGGUUGGUGGUCUUAUUUUUCUGAUGUUUGAUUGCAUUAAAUCUAUGAUAAAUUUCUAUAUUUUAUGAAAAUAGUGUCCGUCUUGGGGACCCCCGAGGGGCCACAGCCCCCAGUUUGAGAACCACUGCAGUAGACCAUCCAGAUCUGGUUUACUCAUGUGAUUUUACUAAAGCUGUAAUUCGAUUAGUCAUCUCGGCUCUGGUGGGUGUGGCUACUGUUGCUAUACUUGUUUAUGACUUCAGAUCCUAAAGAGAAGUUGAAUUCACCUCAGUCCCCUGAUGUCCUUGUGAUAUAUAAAAACUGUUGUGCAGUAAAUCACAAACGAAAAAUGGAUUGUAAAAGAAUCAAGUUAAAAUAAAAUGAAGGUAAUGUGAAAGCUUCUGUGUA